rnacentral:rRNA from 1 species
UACGUAGGGGGCUAGCGUUAUCCGGAAUUACUGGGCGUAAAGGGUGCGUAGGCGGUCUUUCAAGCCAGAAGUGAAAGGCUACGGCUCAACCGUAGUAAGCUUUUGGAACUGUAAGACUUGAGUGCAGGAGAGGAGAGUGGAAUUCCUAGUGUAGCGGUGAAAUGCGUAGAUAUUAGGAGGAACACCAGUUGCGAAGGCGGCUCUCUGGACUGUAACUGACGCUGAGUCACGAAAGCGUGGGUAGCAAACAGGAUUAGAUACCCCCGUAGUCCCUGA